UCCGGCUUAACGCCGGCAGUCCCCCCAGAGUCCCCGACAUGACUCGCUGGCAACUGGGAGCGAGGGUUGCGCUCGUUGCGGGACUUAACCCAACAUCUCACGACACGAGCUGACGACAGCCAUGCAGCACCUGUUCACGGACUCCGAAGAGGGCCCGGUGUUUCCACCAGGUUUCCCGUGCAUGUCAAGCCCAGGUAAGGUUCUUCGCGUUGCGUCGAAUUAAACCACAUGCUCCACCGCUUGUGCGGGCCCCCGUCAAUUCCUUUGAGUUCCAACCUUGCGGCCGUACUCCCCAGGCGGGAUGCUUAAUGCGUUAGCUGCGCCACUGAUAAGCAUGCUUACCAACGGCUAGCAUCCAUCGUUUACGGCGUGGACUAC
rnacentral:misc_RNA from 1 species